CGGCGGAGCAUGCGGAUUAAUUCGAUGACAACGCGAAGAACCUUACCAAGGCUUGACAUACACCGGUAACGCCCAGAGAUGGGUGCCCCUUUGUGGUCGGUGUACAGGUGGUGCAUGGUUGUCGUCAGCUCGUGUCGUGAGAUGUUGGGUUAAGUCCCGCAACGAGCGCAACCCUCGUCCUAUGUUGCCAGCGGGUCAUGCCGGGGACUCAUGGGAGACUGCCGGGGUCAACUCGGAGGAAGUGGGGAUGACGUCAAAUCAUCAUGCCCCUUAUGUCUUGGGCUUCACGCAUGCUACAAUGGCCGGUACAAAGGGCUGCGAUACCGCGAGGUGGAGCGAAUCCCAGAAAGCCGGUCUCAGUUCGGAUUGGGGUCUGCAACUCGACCCCAUGAAGUCGGAGUCGCUAGUAAUCGCAGAUCAGCAACGCUGCGGUGAAUACGUUCCCGGGCCUU
rnacentral:rRNA from 1 species